rnacentral:rRNA from 1 species
GCGACGAUCUAUAGCUGGUCUGAGAGGACGAUCAGCCACACUGGGACUGAGACACGGCCCAGACUCCUACGGGAGGCAGCAGUGGGGAAUAUUGGACAAUGGGCGAAAGCCUGAUCCAGCAAUACCGCGUGUGUGAAGAAGGCCUUAGGGUUGUAAAGCACUUUCAAUUGGGAGGAAAACCUACCGGUCAAUACCCGGUAGCUUGACAUUACCUUUAGAAGAAGCACCGGCUAACUCCGUGCCAGCAGCCGCGGUAAUACGGAGGGUGCGAGCGUUAAUCGGAAUUACUGGGCGUAAAGCGUGCGUAGGCGGUUCGUUAAGUCAGAUGUGAAAGCCCUGGGCUCAACCUGGGAACUGCAUUUGAAACUGGCGGACUAGAGUUUAGUAGAGGGGAGUGGAAUUUCAGGUGUAGCGGUGAAAUGCGUAGAUAUCUGAAGGAACACCAGUGGCGAAGGCGACUCCCUGGACUAGAACUGACGCUGAGGUACGAAAGCGUGGGUAGCAAACAGGAUUAGAUACCCUGGUAGUCCACGCCGUAAACGAUGUCGACUAGCCGUUGGUCCUAUUUACAGGAUUAGUGGCGCAGCUAACGCAUUAAGUCGACCGCCUGGGGAGUACGGCCGCAAGGUUAAAACUCAAAUGAAUUGACGGGGGCCCGCACAAGCGGUGGAGCAUGUGGUUUAAUUCGAUGCAACGCGAAGAACCUUACCUACCCUUGACAUCCAGAGAAUC